ensembl:lncRNA
ACCAGAAGGGGUGGACUAAGAGUGGAGCCCCCCUGUGCUCAUAUAAAGGCCAGACACUGAAGGGAGAGCAACUCUUGGAUCUGGGUUGCUUGCUGAGGAGUGCUGCACAGUCAGGAGCCUCUUCACCAGCUGGAGAUGUGAGAUAGAUCCCUGGUUGACUCUACUCGCACCCUGCCUGCUUGGACUUAUGCUGGUUGUCAAAAUGAAAAAGCCUGGGGAAACCAGUGAAUUAUGAACGUGAGAGGCAGCUCCUCCAGACUUCUCUGCAAAGAAAGCAGGUUCUAUGUCUCACAAGCAAAACAGUGCUUUCCCUAACACAAGCAGUCACCUAUUGGCUGUCACAGAGGGAAAAUACCUGCUUAUACUGGGAGGAGUAGAAUUCUGCAUUUUGCCAGAUCCUGCUGGGAAACAGCUGUGUUUAUACUUUGCACAUCUGUCAGAGCAGGCUGCUGAGAUCUCCAGAUCUGAGGACUGUCCCAGCUGAUUUAGCUCCUGGACACCUUUAGCUUCUGUCAUGGAUUCCUGCUUAUGAAUAGAUAAAACAGUGUACUGAAAGCUGCUGGGCAAAACUGUUGUGCUGAAUCCUUGGCAAGUUUCAGAAAGACAAACGCGAUGUUGUCAGACCAUCACCCAGUACAGUUGCAGUCACUCAACAGGCCAAAAGCAAGAUCCUGAUCUUGGGCAUCUCAGGAGCUGGACAUGAUGGCCCUGGGGAGUUCCUUCCAUCUCAGGAUAAUCUGAUUGCUGAACUGCUACUUACAGCUUUUCACAGCCUUCCUACUUGUUCUUGUUCAGUGCGUCUGUUUGAAAGUGUCUUGAAGAUGAAGUUAUUUCCUGGAGGAAUUCUGAAGGCAACAAGAAGCAUUUUCUCAAGGAGGGAAAAAAAAAAAACCAAACCCUGGAGUGACUUGUGCCUAAAUCCUGGAGCAGAACAGAGUGGCAGCCAGGGCUGCUUACCAGGACAGCAUUUUUGCCUUUUUGUCUCUCUGGGGAUUCUCAAGUAGGAAAGAAAACUGUGGUGUUACUGCUGGGAGGAUUUUUCCUGAUCCUGAGGGAAUCCAUUCUGGAAGCUUGAUCCAAAUGACAGCUGCCUCCAAUUACCACUCUACACAUUGCUGUGGUUAUUUGGUUACAAUCAAGACUGGAGGCUUGAUGACAGCUAGAAGUACCAGCAAGGAAACCUCAGAUGGUUCAGGCUACAGCAGCAUGGGUGCAGGACAACCUGGAUGAAAGUCAGCAGAACAUCUACAGGGCUAAUUAGGACCAUGACCUUGAAAAGGCAUUUUCCAGUACUGUUCACUUAGGUUGAAGCUAGAGACAGAGGAAGGUAUGCACUUCCCAUUAUGAGUGCUACUCCUAAGUUUUCCAACAGGUGCCAAGUAUGGUGGCUUUGAAAUGUAUUUUGGAGAGCUGACAAAGUGGUUAAAGCAGAUAAUUCAUAACAGGCUGUACUAAGACCAAAAAAACCCCACCAACUGGAGUGGUCAUUAAUUUGUGAGGUGAGCAGGCAGCACUCACCAAGCAAGUGGUGCACUGCCUGUUUCCCAGCCUGCCUCCAAACAUCUGCGCGCCUCAGAAGCAAGUGUAAUGUUAUUCUCCCAAGGUGACCCCCUGCUCUGCACUGCAGGAGAAUGAUGGUGAUGUUACAGGCUGGAAUGGAGUAGCAGAAGGUGAGUUGUUUGAAGGUGAAAUCCCAUACUUAUCUACUGCCGUGCUUUCUUUGUGAGGACCUGCAAACCCAUGGGGUGGUCUUUCUCUUUUCAUUCCUCUGCCUGUAUGCUUGGCUGAACCCCAGUGACUGAGCUGCAAGAAAGACCUUACAGUCUGCUGGGAUGGAGGAGCAUCCAGAGAGCCUGGGAGACACCCAAUGUCCCCAGGCACUGAUGUACCCUCUCUAAUACCCACAGAUGAUUCAAGCAAGGCUCAUCUUUCCCCCAACUUCUGAAAUAGCCAUGGGAGCCCUUCAUGGCAAGCUGCCCAUGGCAGGAACCAGUCAGAACCUGCUUCUCCCUGAUGGAAGCCAUCAAGGAAGAGAUGAACAGGAGACUUUGUAAAUGUCUUUAUAACAUGGAAAGCUUUGGAUUUAUGGUGAUAAAUAAUGUUUUCCGCAGUAUGCAUCAACCUGAUUAAUUUCUUUCUAAAUUUAUAGCUUGUGUGUCCUUUAAUCUAUCUUGUGCCAUAGCAACAAUAACAAGCUGAUUGCUGUACCAUUUCAAUCAGCAUCAGUGGCAGUGAGCAGAUGUAUCACUGCCUCAACAAUAGCAUAGGUUUCGUUUCUGAAAAACAUUACUUAGGGCUUUUACUCCAGUUGCAGACGUUAUCUUUUUGUUUUCUGAACUUCUGGUGAAGGAGAACUAACAGUGCUAUAUAAUGCUUUGUGUUUAAUGGAUCUUGUGGUAAGAAGGAUUGAAAAGCAAUACAAGCAGAAAG